GAUGUGAUGGGGAGCGAAAUUUAGUAGCGAAGUAGCUGAUUUCACACUGUCAAGAAAAGUCUCUAUCGAGGUUAAAGGUACCCGUACCGCAAACCGACACAGGUGGGUGAGGAGAGUAUCCUAAGGCCAGCGAGAGAACUGUUGUUAAGGAACUCGGCAAAAUGACCCCGUAACUUAGGGAUAAGGGGUGCCACCAUCAGGUGGCCGCAGAGAAUAGGCCCAAGCGACUGUUUACCAAAAACAUAGGUUUCUGCUAAGUCGCAAGACGAUGUAUAGGAGCUGACGCCUGCCCGGUGCUGGAAGGUUAAGGGGAUCUGUUAGAGCAAUCGAAGCAGUGAACUUAAGCCCCAGUAAACGGCGGCCGUAACUAUAACGGUCCUAAGGUAGCGAAAUUCCUUGUCGGGUAAGUUCCGACCCG
rnacentral:rRNA from 1 species